GACGAACCGUGCGAACGUUAUUCGGAAUCACUGGGCUUAAAGCGCGUGUAGGCGGCCCGGAACGUCCGUCGCUGAAAUCCCCCGGCUCAACCGGGGAAGUGGCGUGGAUACGACCGGGCUGGAGGGGGGUAGGGGGGACGGGAACUCACGGUGGAGCGGUGAAAUGCGUUGAGAUCGUGAGGAACGCCCGCGGCGAAAGCGCGUCCCUGGACCCCACCUGACGCUGAGACGCGAAAGCCAGGGGAGCGAACGGG
rnacentral:rRNA from 1 species